rnacentral:tRNA from 1 species
UGCAAGGUAGCCGAGUUGGCUAAGGCGCGCGAGAUUAUUAGAAAGGGCGUGGGUUCGAACCCCACCCCAGCAG